rnacentral:tmRNA from 1 species
CUCGGGCCCUGCUGGUUUUCUCCAGCGGCAGGGACUUAAAAAAGCUGGAGGAGGGGUGCGCACGAGUUUGUCGUUGGACGCUUGUGCAUCAUCCUUAAAACAACGACUAAGCAUGUAGUCGCCUUAAUACGAACGACUUACGGACCCGGGUUCGACUCCCGGCGCCUCCACCA